AUUGAACGCUGGCGGCAGGCUUAACACAUGCAAGUCGAGCGGGGUGAUGGUGCUUGCACUAUCACUUAGCGGCGGACGGGUGAGUAAUGCUUAGGAAUCUGCCUAUUAGUGGGGGACAACAUCUCGAAAGGGAUGCUAAUACCGCAUACGUCCUACGGGAGAAAGCAGGGGAUCACUUGUGACCUUGCGCUAAUAGAUGAGCCUAAGUCGGAUUAGCUAGUUGGUGGGGUAAAGGCCUACAAAGGCGACGAUCUGUAGCGGGUCUGAGAGGAUGAUCCGCCACACUGGGACGGAGACACGGCCCAGACUCCUACGGGAGGCAGCAGUGGGGAAUAUUGGACAAUGGGGGGAACCCUGAUCCAGCCAUGCCGCGUGUGUGAAAAAGGCCUUAUGGUUGUAAAGCACUUUAAGCGAGGAGGAGGCUCUUUUGGUUAAUACCCAAGAUGAGUGGACGUUACUCGCAGAAUAAGCACCGGCUAACUCUGUGCCAGCCGCCGCAGUAA
rnacentral:rRNA from 1 species